UGUCAUCAGCCCAGAACUUUCUUAAUCUUUUCUGAGAGAAACUACGUCAGUUCCUUGGGCUUCUUUCAAGAAAGUAAAAUUAUUUCCACAGAGAAGAAACAAUCAUUUUCUAAGCAAUAAGGUUAUUGAACUACUUUGGCUGAGUAAAUAACUCUGUUUGCUUCAGGGCACAUUCAGAGAAAUUUCCAAUUCUUGUCAUGGAUUAUGACAUGUUUUCCCCUUGAUAAGACAACAGAAGUGUGUAUUGGACAUUUAAGCAGAUUUCAGUGUGGAAGUUCUCAACACGCUGAUUUUCCCAGGACUGCUUCUGGAUGGAUCAAGAAUCCUGCUGGAGCUUGAGAGUCCUGAAGAAGCUGCCUCUUCCUUGACCCCACUGCUACUCUGUACAUGGCUGGAUCUCUUGGAAAUUGCCAACCCUGGAGAGAAGUGUCUUUGACUUCUCUCCUGGCCUGGACAAACCACAGAGGAAACUUAAGGUUUUUGUUAGUCAUCCCUGCUGUCGCUGGCCUGUGACCUUGGAAGGACUAUUUGAGCAGCUUGAAUGGAGUGAUCAGCAGAAGGCAAAGAAGCCAACAUAACACAGAGACUGAGACUCUGAGGAAUGUGAUAUGGAGAUGGAAAAAUGGGGCAGGCAAGGAUGCUUGAGAAAAAUAUGAGAAAACUACAGAAACAACUCAAAACUUUUCUGACUUCCUUAAAAGAACAUCUCCACGGAGGUUUACAGUGAGCUGGUAACAGAGCUGCUGCACUCCAGCCUGGGUGACAGAGUGAGACUGUCUAAAAAAAAAUAAAAAUAAAAAAAAGAACGUCUCCAAUUUUAAUGCAUUUCUUUGUUCAUGGAAAUAUACAAAGUGUAUUAAGGAAGUAAAAACACUUUAAAUCAUGUCUCUUCAACCUAAGUGCUGGAGCAGUUUUUCUUUCUAUAGGUUUUCUAUUAUUCUUAUGUGAAUCAGCA
rnacentral:lncRNA from 1 species